rnacentral:rRNA from 1 species
UACGGAGGGUGCAAACGUUGCUCGGAAUUAUUGGGCGUAAAGCGCACGUAGGCGGCCGACUAAGUCGGGUGUGAAAGCCCUGGGCUCAACCCAGGAAGUGCACUCGAAACUGAUCGGCUUGAGUAUGGAAGAGGGUCGCGGAAUUCCCGGUGUAGAGGUGAAAUUCGUAGAUAUCAGGAGGAACACCAGUGGCGAAGGCGGCUUUCUGGACGGUAACUGACGCUGAGACGCGAAAGCGUGGGGAGCAAACAGG